rnacentral:rRNA from 1 species
UACGUAGGGUGCGAGCGUUUAAUCGGAAUUACUGGGCGUAAAGCGUGCGCAGGCGGUUCGUUAAGACAGAUGUGAAAUCCCCGGGCUUAACCUGGGAACUGCAUUUGUGACUGGCGAGCUAGAGUAUGGCAGAGGGGGGGUAGAAUUCCACGUGUAGCAGUGAAAUGCGUAGAGAUGUGGAGGAAUACCGAUGGCGAAGGCAAUCCCCCUGGGCCUGUACUGACGCUCAUGCACGAAAAGCGUGGGGGAGCAAACAGG